UGCUGAGAUCAUGUUGUCUCUUCACAGCAAUACAAUCCAUAACUAAGACAAGUUAAGAAUUCUUCAAAGUAAAGAAAGCAAUGGCUGUGAAGGCUGCCAUCAGUACAGUAUUGCUCUUUUGCUCAUGGAUGAAGACAUUUUCACCACCACAACAGUGGCUUCCGGCUGUAGGUCCCUUCAGUGCAGGAAGACAGCAGUUAAAACCCGGAAAGAAACACAGGUGGCGGUGGCACAGUCCUUAAUUCCAAAGGCAGGCAGGCCUGGAGUUUGACCUCCAGGACAGCCAAGGCUACACAGAAGCUG